UACGUAGGGUGCGAGCGUUGUCCGGAAUUAUUGGGAGUAAAGGGCUCGUAGGCGGUUUGUCGCGUCGGGAGUGAAAUCCACUGGCUUAACUGGUGGCUUGCUUUCGAUACGGGCAGACUGGAGGUAUGCAGGGGAGAACGGAAUUCCUGGUGUAGCGGUGAAAUGCGCAGAUAUCAGGAGGAACACCGGUGGCGAAGGCGGUUCUCUGGGCAUGUCCUGACGCUGAGGAGCGAAAGUGUGGGGAGCGAACAGG
rnacentral:rRNA from 1 species